UACGUAGGGGGCGAGCGUUGUCCGGAUUUACUGGGCGUAAAGCGCGCGUAGGCGGCUUCGCAAGUCGGAUGUGAAAGCCCUGGGCUCAACCCAGGAAGUGCAUUCGAAACUGCAGAGCUGGAGUCCUGGAGAGGAAGGCGGAAUUCUCGGUGUAGAGGUGAAAUUCGUAGAUAUCGAGAGGAACACCGGUGGCGAAGGCGGCCUUCUGGACAGUGACUGACGCUGAGACGCGAAAGCGUGGGGAGCAAACAGG
rnacentral:rRNA from 1 species